GGAGCCUGCAAGGUCAUUUUGCCUGCAAGGCCAGGUACUUGCCACCCUGCUGCCACUAUCUGACUUUUGUCCCUGACUCCUGCUGAACCAGCCGCGCGCACCCUCACGCUGCCCGUCCAAAGGUGAAGCAAGCGGCCUCCCGCGCCCGACCGCCACUCCGGGAGCUCCCCGGGACGCUUAGAGAAAAGCAGCAAUUGCGAGGCGCCCUCCCGCCCGCCGCAGGCGUGCCCUGAGGAGAAGCCGGCAGCCCCGCUCCCCGCCGGCCUCCCGGGCCCCCGCAGCGGCGCGCGGCCGAGGCGCGCGGGUCUCCGUCCGCGAGCGCACCCGGAAGCCAGCCUGGGAGGCGCGCGGGCGGUGCGGGCGCACCGCGCGCACCGGGGGCUGCCUGCUGCCCGGGGGCUGCCUAGUGGGAAUCCCUCCGGCUGGGGAGAAGGGCAGUUGUUUUCCUCCCGGUGGAACGUUCCACUUGAAACUGUUCCACAAGGGCUGUUCUCGCCUCCGACUCGGGGAAGAACUGUAAUUAACACAGCAACAAACGCCCACGACGCUAACUGGCAAAGGGAGUGUAACACGAGCCGCUUCUCCGACCGAACUGGGCCAAUUGCUUUCCCUUCUUGCCUCCCCAUUUGGUCUGUUUUGGUUCCGCAGUCAUCCAACUGUGGCGUUUCUUAAAACAUGUCAGUGGCUGGUGUUUGUGUUUGGGGUUGAACAGUUUCACACACGUCGCUGGAGACGGUGCUCAACCAGCGGCUGGGCUGGGUCCCGGCUUUCCGCGGCUUCGGCAGUGUCGGGUAGAGAAAUGAAGUGACUGGAAGCAGGGGGUGGAGAUGAAGAAGGACGCCGGCCUCCCGCGAGCGCCUGCAGUCGGGUCGGAAGCCUCCCCGGACGCGGACAGAAUCAUAUUAUACUAGCCCAGGUAGGCUGGGUUACGUGGUGGUAGCAAAUUUAACCCAGUAUCUCUGUGGCUGGACACAACAAAGGUUUUUGGUUUUGCAUCAAACUACAUGUUUAAGCUACAUCACCUUGUGACGCCGCCAUCCCAGCAUGUGUCUUCCAGGAAGAGGGAGCUGGAAGGUUGUACAGGAGCUUUUCUCUCCUGCUUGGACUCACCCUGGCCAGAGCUAAUCGCAUGGUCCACUUAACUGCAAAGAGCAAUCUUCUGUGUGCCCAGGAAGCAGAAGAGCCAGCGUUUGGUGGAAGCUUCUGGGACGAUUUCCUACAGCCCCUCAGAAGAUUUCACAGAACCGAGGGGCAGUCUUCUAAUGCAGCAACCAGUUGAAUAGCACACCUUUGCACUGGUUUUCCUUCCUCCUUUUUCACUCUCCUGUGGCGCCCUGAGAUCACUUCCCAAAUAGAGUCUGCGGCAAUUCAUUUGUCUCAACUCUGCUUCCGCGUUAAGUGUACUAAGUGCGGGGGCCUACCACCCACAUCUGCCCUUGGCCCACAGCAUUCCUCCCUGCCGCCGCCGGGACUGCUGACUGCUGGUGGUUCACAGCUGAGCACCCUUCAGCGUGUUGCCAGUGGCCGAAGGAAGCUGCUUCAGCCACGUCGACAGCCCCUCCCACAGCCUAACCCAUGACUGGGGGCCAAGGAGCCUUGCCUCGAUUUGAGACAUCCCUGAAGGGCAAACUCAGCUUCAGAGAUUUCCAGGGAUCUGCCAAAGCCUUUGUUAUAACUGCAUCACAGCUGAACUUCUCCCUCUUCACGCCUGCCUUCCUUACUCCCUCACCUGUGGUGGUCUCGAGAACACUUCCCAAUAAACCCCCUGCAUUUCCAGUUUUAGUUUCUGUGCUGCCAAAGCAGGCACGAAACCUCUGCAUUUCAAUAUCCACCUCAGAGUACAUUUCUGAGGAAACAUGAUCUAAGACACUAAACCCAGGAGCCCUAGAAGACAGGCGCGUAGGACGGGAUUUGGCAACUGGAUCAGUCACAGUUGAGAUAUGGGUGAAAGUCAAGUGAAGUGCUGGGAUAUGCAAUAACUAUGGUACUUAAUGGUGGUAAUGAUUGUAGCCUGAAAUGUUUUUACUUGAAACGUUUUGUAGGGACUAAAGUGGAUUGCACAGGCAUAUUGUGGAGAUCUCUAGUCCUGAAUUCUUUAAGUAUUGGUGGAGGCACUAGACAUUGCAUUUUCUCUGAUUCACUAUGUUGGCUGAGCUGGGACGGUGGGGCGGGACAGUUUCAGAGGCUUCUAGAGUGACUGGUCUAUCAGCACAGCAACUGACAUAUUACCUCUAAUGAAGGGACCCAUCUUAUGGCCAAAGGGGUGUGUCAGUGGGCACAUGAGCACUAGAUACACUGGUUUUCUCACAUACCUCUUGACCCCAAAGCAUCUAGCUUAUUGGGUGCUUGAAUAAACUUUUAUAGGCUCAAGUAACUCUCCAAUUCAAGGACAACAUUCUGGGAAUGGGGGUGGGGGAGAGCACAGUCCCCAAAAAUGUAGUGAAAGCUUUAAAUCAGUGAUCUAUAAAUGGUGCUACGUCCCCCAUGGUUGGAAUACAUAGAUCCAGAAAACAAGAAGUGAGAUUAAUCACUUUCACCAUCAUUAUCAGUGACAUAUUUUCAGAUUCUGUGCUUUCCUUCUCUGAAACUCUAGAUUUUGCCAGAUUAAAUUCUCAUUCUCAAGAGAAUCCUUCUACCAGAGAACACAGUAAGAAUUUCACUUACCUAGAAAUUCUGACUAUUAACCCGUCUCUCUUUUUUUUAAGAUUUUAUUUAUUUGUUUAUGAGAGAGAGAGCAUGCACAAACAGGGGAGCAACAGAGGGAGAAGCAGGCUUUCCGCUGAGCAGGGAGCCUGACACAGGGCUCCAUCCCAGGACUCCAGGAUCAUGACCUGAGCCAAAGGCAGACGCUUAACCGAUUGAGCCCCCAGGUGCCCCCCUCCCCGCCCCGCACCUGUCUCUUUGGGCUCCUCAUGCCAGUGGACCAGCAGUCAAAGGAAGAAGUUACUCUACCCUAACCUACCCUGAUUACCAUGAGAAGCGAGGCAGGAUUAUGUGUGUAACUCAAAGGAUUCAUGAGGGCAUCUUUUGGUGUCUCCAUGUCUAGAAAUAAUUAUGAACAGGUGAUUGAAGCAGUCAUAGACCUCAGUGGCCGAUCAUGGCUCAAACCUUUCAGAGUUAAGGCCUGAGUCACGUCCAUCCUCUAACCCAGUCAAGCAAACUGGGCUAGCUGAAGAUAUAGAAGUGGCCAAUAAACACAUAAAAAAGAUGCUCAACAUCACUAAUCAUUAGGGAGAUUCGAAUCAAAGCCACAGUGAGAUGCUGCUCAUCCAUUAAAAUAUUUAAAAAUGGAAAAUAACAAGUGUUGGCAAAGGAUAUGGAGAAACUUGAACCCUGUGCAUUGCUGAUAGGAAUUUAUUUAUUUGUUUGUUUAUUUUAAAGCUUUUAUUUGAGAGAGAGAGAGAUAGCAAGAGAGAACACAAGCAGGGAAGAGAGGGAGGAGCAGGCUCUCCACUGAGCAGGGAGCCCGACGCAGGGUUCCAUCCCAGAACCCGGGAUCAUGACUUGAGCCGAAGGCAGAUGCUUUUUUUUUUUUUUAAGCUUUUAUGUAUUUAUUUGAGAGAUCAAGAGUACAAACAAGGGGAGCAGCAGGGAGAGGGAGAAGUAGGCUUCUGCUGAGCAGAGAGCCCGACAUGGGGCCCGAUCCCCAGGACCCCGGGAUCAUGACCUGAGCCGAAGGCAAUCGCUUAACCAACUGAGCCACCCAGGCACCCUGCUGAUAGGAAUUUAAAACUGUGCAGCCACUCUGGAAAACAGUAUGAUGGUUUCUCAAAAAUUAAACAUCGAAUUACCAUAUGACCUAGCAAUUCCAUUCCCAAUAUAUAAACAAAAGAAUUUAAAGCAGGAACUCAUACAGAUUUUUCCACACCAAUGUUAACAAUAGCAUUGUUCACAGUAGCUGAAAGGUGGAAACAACUCAAAUGUUCAUUAACAGAUGAAUGAGUAAGCAAAAUGGUGUAUGUGUUUGUUAUGUGUGUAUAUAUAUACAUAUAUAUAUGGAAUAUUAUUCAGCCUUAAAAAGGAAUGAAAUUCUGAUACAUGCUACUGCAUGGAUGAACCUACAAAGAAUUAUGCUACGUGAAAUAAGCCAAACACAUAAGGACAAAUAUUGUAUGAUUUCAUUUAUAGGAGGUACUUAGGAUAGGCAAAUUCAUAGAGACAGAAAGGAUAAUAGAGGUUAUCAGGGGCUAAGAACAUGGGAAAAUGGGGAGUUAUUAUUUUAAUGGAUAGGAAGUUUCUGUUGGGGAUGAUGAAAGUUCUGGAAGUGGGUAGCAGUGGUGGUUGCACAACAUUGUGAGUAUACUUAGUGCCACCAAAUUUGCACUUCAAAAUAGUUAAAACGGUGAGUUUUAUGUUAUGUACAUUUUACCACAAUAAAAAAAAAAACACAAAAAAGUUUUAAAAAGUAAUACAUCUAGACAAAAAAUUCCAAUAUACUGAUGCUUUAUCUACUUGUUAUCGAGGAUUCAAUUAGAUAGAAAGUUAGACAAAACAAAAACAACUGAAGUUUUCCAUUUUUGUUCAAUACUGAGUGGCAUAGUCUUCUAGAAUAGCAGUUAGAAUAUAGAUAAAAGGAUUCCACUUACCUUGUUUAUCCCUUCAUGUGAACCUACCCUGGGUUAUUAGAAUUGCACAGUUAAAGUAGGGAGAGAUAGCAACAUUAGUCCCUGAACCAGUGUGUAUUUUACUACUCACUAAUCGAGCUAUGGAAAUUAUACAUGCCUAAUAAAUAUUGAUUUUACCAGUUUUGCACCUUUUAGAGCACAGGCAGUCUUCCAAGAAAUUUCCAUGGGUAGUUAGUUCUCUUCUGUAUUCAUAUGCCAUAUAGUAAGUUCUUAGUCUAAGUGCAUGAUUAUAUUUCCUAGGAAUCCCCUCAGAGAUUGAUAAAUAUGAUAAAUUAGCUACUGGUGCAAGAUCUGCAAUUUUUCUUUUGUGUAAUUCCACCGGAAAUUCCAAAGAUAAAACUCAGCCAUAUAACCUGCAAUAGAAAACGUAAUAGUAGACAAUUCAAACACAGUCAUAAUUUGGUGCAGAAAAUGUGAAACUAGAUGAAAUGGAAGAACUGAUAAGCAAUAUAAAAAGCACGUUUUUGUUUUUAUUACUUAACUGAAAUAGUCACAGUGACACAAUCAUUGCUUUUGCAAUACAUGAAAGUUCUUGUUUCUGUAUUUAGAAUUAGGGUCUGGAAUUUUGACCAUUAUUUCCCCUGAGAUCAUAUAAACCUUCCCAAAGUGCUGAUGUGGUUAAUAUUUCACUAAUGUAAUACUUCUUUCACAAUUAUAACUCAAAUACAUCACUUACUCUAGCAGAUUGCUUUAUCAUCUUACUCCGUGAAUUUUACUUUAAAAUUACUGCCAUCCUUCAUUUUUCUGUGAUUACACUAUCUUUUCUUUUGACUUCACCUUUCUACAUAAAAUACAUAGGGUACAAAAUUAAAGUAUUUCAAAUGAAUUCUCUAAACGAGAGCCUAAAGGUAAAACAUAUUUGACUGAUAGCCAUAAGGCUCUGAAUGCUCAAGCCUAGGAAACCUGUUCUACACUGUUUCAUGCUACCCAAGAGUCAGCUGUUUAUCCUCAAGUCUGUUGAUGCCAGUUGUACUGAUUAUUAUAAUUAAAUAAUUCAAUUAAAUACUACAUAAAAUGAGAAAUACAAGUGCAAGUAAGUUAGGCUCUGAUUCUGUGGAAACUAAGUCAAAUGCUUAAAAAUGCUUAAAAGGUGAGUUGCUAGGGUAGCCUGCGUGGCUCAGUCUAAGUGUUGGACUCUUGGUUUUGACUCAGGGCAUGAUCUCAGGGUCACAAGAUCAAGUCCCAGGUGGGGCUUGGCAGUCAGUGUGGAGUCUGCUUGUCCCUCUCCCUCCCCCUGUGGUCCUCCCCCUGCUCGCGUGUGCUCUCUCUCUCAUACAUAAAUAAAUAAUCUUUUUAAAAAGUGAGUUGCUAAAAAAUAUUAUCAAAUUACAUGCAAGUGAGGCAAUUGAAAAAGAAAAUCCUUAAUUGUAAAAAUCCAAAAAGGUUCUGCACUCAGACUGUUCCGCAAUGUCUUUAUUUUUUUUUUAAAGAUUUUAUUUACCCAUUUGAGAGAGAGACAGAGAGAGCACAAGUGGGAGAGGGGCAGAGGGAGAGGGAGAAGCAGACUCCCCACUGAGCUGGGACCCCCAACGUUGGGCUCCAUCCCAGGACCUGGAGAUCUGAGCUGAAGGCAGACGCUUAACAAUCUGAGCCACCCAGGUGCCCCUGUGCAGUGUCUUUAUAUUCUAUUUCCAUGUUAAUGAAGUAGAAACCAUAAAAUUGAAGAUACUGCAAAUGAAUGUGAUUUGUGCAAAGAAAAAGAGAGAAGAAGAAAAGAAGAAAGACAAAGAAAGAAGGAAGAAAGAAAGAAAGAAAGAGAAAGAAAAAGAAAAGAAAGAGGAAGGAAGG